rnacentral:rRNA from 1 species
AUUGAACGCUGGCGGCAGGCUUAACACAUGCAAGUCGAGCGAGCGGCGGACGGGUGAGUAAUGUCUGGGAACCUGCCUGAUGGAGGGGGAUAACUACUGGAAACGGUAGCUAAUACCGCAUACCAUCAGAUGUGCCCAGAUGGGAUUAGCUAGUAGGUGGGGUAAUGGCUCACCUAGGCGACGAUCCCUAGCUGGUCUGAGAGGAUGACCAGCAACACUGGAACUGAGACAGGGUCCAGACCCCUACGGGAGGCAGCAGUGGGGAAGAUUGCACAAUGGGCGAAAGCCUAAUGCAGCCAUGCCGCGGGGGUGAAGAAGGCCUUCGGGUUGUAAAGCACUUUCAUCGAGGAGGCGUUACUCGAAGAAGAAGCACCGGCUAACUCCGUGCCAGCAGCCGCGGUAAUUC